GACGAACGCUGGCGGCGUGCUUAACACAUGCAAGUCGAACGGAAAGGCCCUGCUUUUGUGGGGUGCUCGAGUGGCGAACGGGUGAGUAACACGUGAGUAACCUGCCCUUGACUUUGGGAUAACUUCAGGAAACUGGGGCUAAUACCGGAUAGGAGCUCCUGCUGCAUGGUGGGGGUUGGAAAGUUUCGGCGGUUGGGGAUGGACUCGCGGCUUAUCAGCUUGUUGGUGGGGUAGUGGCUUACCAAGGCUUUGACGGGUAGCCGGCCUGAGAGGGUGACCGGCCACAGUGGGACUGAGAUACGGCCCAGACUCCUACGGGAGGCAGCAGUGGGGAAUAGUGCACAAUGGGCGGAAGCCUGAUGCAGCAACGCCGCGUGCGGGAUGACGGCCUUCGGGUUGUAAACCGCUUUCGCCUGUGACGAAGCGUGAGUGACGGUAAUGGGUAAAGAAGCACCGGCUAACUACGU
rnacentral:rRNA from 1 species